rnacentral:rRNA from 1 species
AGUUUGAUCAUGGCUCAGGAUGAACGCUGGCGGCGUGCCUAAUACAUGCAAGUCGAGCGAAUGGAUUGAGAGCUUGCUCUCAAGAAGUUAGCGGCGGACGGGUGAGUAACACGUGGGUAACCUGCCCAUAAGACUGGGAUAACCCCGGGAAACCGGGGCUAAUACCGGAUAAUAUUUUGAACUGCAUGGUUCGAAAUUGAAAGGCGGCUUCGGCUGUCACUUAUGGAUGGACCCGCGUCGCAUUAGCUAGUUGGUGAGGUAACGGCUCACCAAGGCAACGAUGCGUAGCCGACCUGAGAGGGUGAUCGGCCACACUGGGACUGAGACACGGCCCAGACUCCUACGGGAGGCAGCAGUAGGGAAUCUUCCGCAAUGGACGAAAGUCUGACGGAGCAACGCCGCGUGAGUGAUGAAGGCUUUCGGGUCGUAAAACUCUGUUGUUAGGGAAGAACAAGUGCUAGUUGAAUAAGCUGGCACCUUGACGGUACCUAACCAGAAAGCCACGGCUAACUACGUG